rnacentral:rRNA from 1 species
UACGUAGGGUGCAAGCGUUGUCCGGAAUUAUUGGGCGUAAAGAGCUCGUAGGCGGUCUGUCGCGUCUGCUGUGAAAACUCGGGGCUUAACCCCGGGCCUGCAGUGGGUACGGGCAGACUAGAGUGCGGUAGGGGAGACUGGAAUUCCUGGUGUAGCGGUGAAAUGCGCAGAUAUCAGGAGGAACACCGGUGGCGAAGGCGGGUCAC